AGUGAACGCUGGCGGUAGGCCUAACACAUGCAAGUCGAACGGCAGCACAGUAAGAGCUUGCUCUUACGGGUGGCGAGUGGCGGACGGGUGAGGAAUACAUCGGAAGCUACUUUUUCGUGGGGGAUAACGUAGGGAAACUUACGCUAAUACCGCAUACGACCUACGGGUGAAAGCAGGGGAUCUUCGGACCUUGCGCGAUUGAAUGAGCCGAUGUCGGAUUAGCUAGUUGGCGGGGUAAAGGCCCACCAAGGCGACGAUCCGUAGCUGGUCUGAGAGGAUGAUCAGCCACACUGGAACUGAGACACGGUCCAGACUCCUACGGGAGGCAGCAGUGGGGAAUAUUGGACAAUGGGCGCAAGCCUGAUCCAGCCAUACCGCGUGGGUGAAGAAGGCCUUCGGGUUGUAAAGCCCUUUUGUUGGGAAAGAAAAGCAGCAGGUUAAUACCCCGCUGUUCUGACGUUACCCAAAGAAUAAGCACCGGCUAACUUCGUG
rnacentral:rRNA from 1 species